CCCUAGUGACCGAUAGUGAACCAGUACCGUGAGGGAAAGGUGAAAAGCACCCCGGGAGGGGAGUGAAAUAGAACCUGAAACCGUGUGCCUACAACAAGUUCGAGCCCGUUAAUGGGUGAGAGCGUGCCUUUUGUAGAAUGAACCGGCGAGUUACGAUAUGAUGCGAGGUUAAGUUGAAGAGACGGAGCCGUAGGGAAACCGAGUCUUAAUAGGGCGUAUUAGUAUCAUGUCGUAGACCCGAAACCAUGUGACCUACCCAUGAGCAGGUUGAAGGUGAGGUAAAACUCACUGGAGGACCGAACCAGGGCACGUUGAAAAGUGCUUGGAUGACUUGUGGGUAGCGGAGAAAUUCCAAACGAACUUGGAGAUAGCUGGUUCUCUCCGAAAUAGCUUUAGGGCUAGCGUCGAUGUUAAGUCUCUUGGAGGUAGAGCACUGUUUGGGUGAGGGGUCCAUCCCGGAUUACCAAUCUCAGAUAAACUCCGAAUGCCAACGAGAUAUAAUCGGCAGUCAGACUGCGAGUGCUAAGAUCCGUAGUCGAAAGGGAAACAGCCCAGACCACCAGCUAAGGUCCCAAAAUAUAUGUUAAGUGGAAAAGGAUGUGGGGUUGCACAGACAACUAGGAUGUUAGCUUAGAAGCAGCUAUUCAUUCAAAGAGUGCGUAAUAGCUCACUAGUCGAGUGACCCUGCGCCGAAAAUGUACCGGGGCUAAAACAUAUUACCGAAGCUGUGGAUACCUUUAUAGGUAUGGUAGGAGAGCGUUCUAUGUGCGAAGAAGGUGUACCGUGAGGAGUGCUGGAGCGCAUAGAAGUGAGAAUGCCGGUAUGAGUAGCGAAAGACAGGUGAGAAUCCUGUCCACCGUAAGACUAAGGUUUCCAGGGGAAGGCUCGUCCGCCCUGGGUUAGUCGGGACCUAAGGAGAGACCGAAAGGUGUAUCCGAUGGACAACAGGUUGAUAUUCCUGUACUAGAGUAUGUAGUGAUGGAGGGACGCAGUAGGCUAACUAAAGCAGACGAUUGGAAGAGUCUGUCUAAGCAGUGAGGUGUGAUAUGAGUCAAAUGCUUAUAUCUAUAACAUUGAGCUGUGAUGGGGAGCGAAGUUUAGUAGCGAAGUUAGUGAUGUCACACUGCCGAGAAAAGCUUCUAGCGUUAAUUAUACUCUACCCGUACCGCAAACCGACACAGGUAGUCGAGGCGAGUAGCCUCAGGUGAGCGAGAGAACUCUCGUUAAGGAACUCGGCAAAAUGGCCCCGUAACUUCGGGAGAAGGGGCGCUGACUUAUGGUCAGCCGCAGUGAAUAGGCCCAAGCAACUGUUUAUCAAAAACACAGCUCUCUGCUAAAUCGUAAGAUGAUGUAUAGGGGGUGACGCCUGCCCGGUGCUGGAAGGUUAAGAGGAGUGCUUAGCAAUAGCGAAGGUAUGAAUUGAAGCCCCAGUAAACGGCGGCCGUAACUAUAACGGUCCUAAGGUAGCGAAAUUCCUUGUCGGGUAAGUUCCGACCCGCACGAAAGGCGUAAUGAUUUGGGCACUGUCUCAACGAGAGACUCGGUGAAAUUUUAGUACCUGUGAAGAUGCAGGUUACCCGCGACAGGACGGAAAGACCCCAUGGAGCUUUACUGCAGUUUGAUAUUGAGUAUCUGUACCACAUGUACAGGAUAGGUAGGAGCCUAUGACCUCGGGACGCCAGUUUCGAGUGAGGCGUUGUUGGGAUACUACCCUUGUGUUAUGGCUACUCUAACCCAGAUAGGUUAUCCCUAUCGGAGACAGUGUCUGACGGGCAGUUUGACUGGGGCGGUCGCCUCCUAAAAGGUAACGGAGGCGCCCAAAGGUUCCCUCAGAAUGGUUGGAAAUCAUUCGCAGAGUGUAAAGGUAUAAGGGAGCUUGACUGCGAGAGUUACAACUCGAGCAGGGACGAAAGUCGGGCUUAGUGAUCCGGUGGUUCCGCAUGGAAGGGCCAUCGCUCAACGGAUAAAAGCUACCCUGGGGAUAACAGGCUUAUCUCCCCCAAGAGUUCACAUCGACGGGGAGGUUUGGCACCUCGAUGUCGGCUCGUCGCAUCCUGGGGCUG
rnacentral:rRNA from 1 species